GUUCAUAAUCACUUUAUGAUUGUAUAAACAAAAUACAAAGGGUAAAAAAAUACGUACUGCUGAAAAAUUGUCAUAUUUUCCUUUUUUUUCUAUCUUUUAUGAGUAAUUUUCUUUCUUAUCUAUCAAAUGUGCGGAACAAUUGAUUUCUGAUAUAGGUUAAUCUUUUGAAGGUUACACAUCUCUAACUUGUUUAUUUUGUUACUCUAUUCAUCUGUGUUUCCUCUUAUUUUUAAUUUUAUUCUUGCAUCACCAAUGAUUAUGAUAGGGUUUUUCGUAUUGUUUUGAUGAGAUUGAGAUGUUUUUUAGGAUUAUGAGGAUCUCACAAUAAGAAAGGUGGUACUAAUGUAACACUACAAAAAUGAUUGGGUUUGUUUCCUUUAAUACAUACGGUCUCAUUUUCAUUGUCUUGUAAUUAUUCUUUUUUCUAUUUUUCUUUUUCAUUUUCUUGUAAUCAUUCUGUUUUCUUUUUUUCUUUUUCAUUUUCUAAUUAUAAUAAUUAGUAUUUUUGCAUAUUUUUUAAUCUAUAUAACUUAUGUUAAUCGUUUAAUUAUUAGAAUAUAGAAGAUGACAUUUUGUUCUUUAGGAUAUAAGUAUAUAAUUAAUUAAUUUUGAUGUUCAAUACAUAUCUUUCUAAACUAAUUAAUGUCAAGGUUUGUUACUCAUUACAUGUUUGAUUAUUUAUAUAAUUGAGGAUUUACUUAAUAUAAAUAUUUAGCUUACAAUAUUUAAUAGAUAUCUCUGGUUCAUAAUCAUAUUAUGAUUGUAUAAACAAAAAUACGUACUGCUGAAAAAUUGUCAUGUUUUCCUUUUUUUUUUUCUAUCUUUUAUGAGUAAUUUUCUUUCUUAUCUAUCAAAUGUGCGGAACAAUUGAUUUCUGAUAUAGGUUAAUCUUUUGAAGGUUACACAUCUCUAACUUGUUUAUUUUGUCACUCUAUUCAUCUGUGUUUCCUCUUAUUUUCAAUUUUAUUCUUGCAUCACCAAUGAUUAUGAUAGGGUUUUUCGUAUUGUUUUGAUGAGAUUGAGAUGUUUGUUAGGAUUAUGAGGAUCUCACAAUAAUAAAGGUGGUGCUAAUGUAACACUAGAAAAAUGAUUGGGUUGGUUUCCUUUAAUACAUACGGUCUCAUUUUCAUUGUCUUGUAAUUAUUCUAUUUUCUUUUUUUCUUUUUCAUUUUCUUGUAAUUAUUCUUUUUUCUUUUUUUCUUUUUCAUUUUCUACUUAUAAUUAGUAUUUUAGCAUAUUUUUUAAUCUAUAUAACUUAUGUUAAUCGUUUAAUUAUCAGAAUAUAGAAGAUGACAUUUUAUGUUCUUUAGGAUAUAAGUAUAUAUUUAAUUAAUUUUGAUGUUCAAUACAUAUCUUUCUUUCUCUACCAUGAGUAUAAUUUUAUAAUGCAACUUCUAUCUUAUAUUUCUUUUAUUGGAGUAUAAAUAUAGCAUGCCAGAUUAAAACAUAAUUUUGAAAUUAUCGAUGAUAUAUUUCAUUUUUAUCAUUUUAAAAUUAUAAUAUAUUACUUAUAUUUAUCAUUUUAAAAAAAUACGUACUCCUGAAAAAUUGUCAGAUUUUCCUUUUUUCUAUCUUUUAUGAGUAAUUUUCUUUCCUAUCUAUCAAAUGUACGGAACAAUUAACUUCUGAUAUAGGUUAAACUUUUGAAGGUUACACAUCUCUAAUUUGUUUAUUUUGUUACUCUAUUCAUUUGUGUUUCCUCUUAUUUUCAAUUUUAUUCUUGCAUCACCAAUGAUUAUGAUAGGGUUUUUCGUUUUGUUUUGAUGAGAUUGAGAUGUUUGUUAGGAUUAUGAGGAUCUCACAAUAAUAAAGGUGGUGCUAAUGUAACACUAGAAAAAUGAUUAG
rnacentral:lncRNA from 1 species